rnacentral:rRNA from 1 species
AUGGCAGUGAGAGGGGAUAAAACAAAGGCGCAGCAGUUGAUGGCAGUAAGAGGGAAGAAGACGACGAUGAAGAAGACGAGGACGGUUAUGGUGAUGAUGUUGGGGGAUCCAAUGGAGGCAGCGACAGCAGCGAUGAUGAUGAUGAUGACAAUGCCCCUCGUUCUGGUGGUACAGGAUUUGCCGAAGUCAAAGAAAAAUGACGAAGCAGAGUCUCAUGGCAGCAUUGAUAUGUUCAAGCUCUGCAACUUGAAGCCAGCUUUGGCAACCACCUUUCCUGUGCCAGAUUUUAGCGACCAAGAUAUGUGUGAGAAGAUCAAAUUUGCCAUUGACAACAGCCUGUUCUUAUCAAGUGUUGCUAAAAAGAAUCAAGUUGACAUGGAGGAAGCAGGAAAGGACCUAAGCUCCGGCAAGAGUAAGGCAGCAUCCAUGGCAAACCCUCACGUGGUCCAGAAGCGUAAAGCAGUUUCAAUGAAGAAGAAUCUGUAG